GGGGUGACGGCGUACCUUUUGUAUAAUGGGUCAGCGACUUACGUUCAGUAGCAAGCUUAACCGUAUAGGGCAGGCGUAGCGAAAGCGAGUCCGAAUAGGGCGUUCAGUUGCUGGGCGUAGACCCGAAACCAGGUGAUCUAUCCAUGGCCAGGAUGAAGGUGCGGUAACACGUACUGGAGGUCCGAACCCACUAACGUUGAAAAGUUAGGGGAUGAGCUGUGGAUAGGGGUGAAAGGCUAAACAAACCUGGAAAUAGCUGGUUCUCUCCGAAAACUAUUUAGGUAGUGCCUCGUGUCUCACCUUCGGGGGUAGAGCACUGUCAUGGUUGGGGGGUCUAUUGCAGAUUACCCCGCCAUAGCAAACUCCGAAUACCGAAGAGUGCAAUCACGGGAGACAGACAUCGGGUGCUAACGUCCGGUGUCAAGAGGGAAACAACCCAGACCGCCAGCUAAGGUCCCCAAAUAUGGCUAAGUGGGAAACGAAGUGGGAAGGCUAAAACAGUCAGGAGGUUGGCUUAGAAGCAGCCACCCUUUAAAGAAAGCGUAAUAGCUCACUGAUCGAGUCGUCCUGCGCGGAAGAUGUAACGGGGCUAAGCCAUAUACCGAAGCUGCGGAUGCGAGCUUGCUCGCAUGGUAGGAGAGCGUUCCGUAAGCCUGCGAAGGUGCCUUGUAAAGGGUGCUGGAGGUAUCGGAAGUGCGAAUGCUGACAUGAGUAGCGAUAAAGGGGGUGAAAGGCCCCCUCGCCGUAAGCCCAAGGUUUCCUACGCAACGUUCAUCGGCGUAGGGUGAGUCGGCCCCUAAGGCGAGGCAGAAAUGCGUAGCUGAUGGGAAGCAGGUCAAUAUUCCUGCACCGUCGUUAGAUGCGAUGGGGGGACGGAUCGCGGAAGGUUGUCCGGGUGUUGGACGUCCCGGUCGCUGCAUUGGAGAAGGCGCUUAGGCAAAUCCGGGCGCAGGAUUCAAGGGUGUGGCGCGAGCGACUUCGGUCGCGAAGCAAUUGGAAGUGGUUCCAAGAAAAGCCUCUAAGCUUCAGUCUAACGAUGACCGUACCGCAAACCGACACAGGUGGGCGAGAUGAGUAUUCUAAGGCGCUUGAGAGAACUCGGGAGAAGGAACUCGGCAAAUUGGUACCGUAACUUCGGGAUAAGGUACGCCCUUGUAGCUUGACUGGCCUGCGCCAGGAGGGUGAAGGGGUUGCAAUAAACUGGUGGCUGCGACUGUUUAAUAAAAACACAGCACUCUGCAAACACGAAAGUGGACGUAUAGGGUGUGACGCCUGCCCGGUGCCGGAAGAUUAAAUGAUGGGGUGCAAGCUCUUGAUUGAAGUCCCGGUAAACGGCGGCCGUAACUAUAACGGUCCUAAGGUAGCGAAAUUCCUUGUCGGGUAAGUUCCGACCUGCACGAAUGGCGUAACGAUGGCCACACUGUCUCCUCCCGAGACUCAGCGAAGUUGAAGUGUUUGUGAUGAUGCAAUCUACCCGCGGCUAGACGGAAAGACCCCAUGAACCUUUACUGUAGCUUUGCAUUGGACUUUGAACCGAUCUGUGUAGGAUAGGUGGGAGGCUAUGAAACCGGAACGCUAGUUUCGGUGGAGCCGUCCUUGAAAUACCACCCUGGUUUGUUUGAGGUUCUAACCUUGGUCCGUGAUCCGGAUCGGGGACAGUGCAUGGUAGGCAGUUUGACUGGGGCGGUCUCCUCCCAAAGGGUAACGGAGGAGUACGAAGGUACGCUAGGUACGGUCGGAAAUCGUGCUGAUAGUGCAAUGGCAUAAGCGUGCUUAACUGCGAGACCGACAAGUCGAGCAGGUGCGAAAGCAGGUCAUAGUGAUCCGGUGGUUCUGUAUGGAAGGGCCAUCGCUCAACGGAUAAAAGGUACUCUGGGGAUAACAGGCUGAUACCGCCCAAGAGUUCAUAUCGACGGCGGUGUUUGGCACCUCGAUGUCGGCUCAUCUCAUCCUGGGGCUGUAGCCGGUCCCAAGGGUAUGGCUGUUCGCCAUUUAAAGAGGUACGUGAGCUGGGUUUAAAACGUCGUGAGACAGUUUGGUCCCUAUCUGCCGUGGGCGUUGGAUAUUUGAAGGGGGCUGCUCCUAGUACGAGAGGACCGGAGUGGACGAACCUCUGGUGUACCGGUUGUGACGCCAGUCGCAUCGCCGGGUAGCUAUGUUCGGAAGAGAUAACCGCUGAAAGCAUCUAAGCGGGAAACUCGCCUUAAGAUGAGAUAUCCCUGGAGGCUUGACCUCCUUGAAGGGUCGUUCGAGACCAGGACGUUGAUAGGUCGGGUGUGUAAGCGCAGUAAUGCGUUCAGCUAACCGAUACUAAUUGCCCGUAAGGCUUGAUCCU
rnacentral:rRNA from 1 species